GAUGAACGCUGGCGGCGUGCCUAAUACAUGCAAGUCGAGCGAACAGACGAGGAGCUUGCUCCUCUGACGUUAGCGGCGGACGGGUGAGUAACACGUGGAUAACCUACCUAUAAGACUGGGAUAACUUCGGGAAACCGGAGCUAAUACCGGAUAAUAUAUUGAACCGCAUGGUUCAAUAGUGAAAGACGGUUUUGCUUUCACUUAUAGAUGGAUCCGCGCCGCAUUAGCUAGUUGGUAAGGUAACGGCUUACCAAGGCAACGAUGCGUAGCCGACCUGAGAGGGUGAUCGGACACACUGGAACUGAGACACGGUCCAGACGCCUACGGGAGGCCGCAGUAGGGAAUCUUCCGCAAUGGGCGAAAGCGUGACGGAGCAACGCCGCGUGAGUGAUGAAGGUCUUCGGAUCGUAAAACUCUGUUAUUAGGGAAGAACAAAUGUGUAAGUAACUAUGAACGUCUUGACGGUACCUAAUCAGAAAGCCACGGCUAACUACGUG
rnacentral:rRNA from 1 species